rnacentral:rRNA from 1 species
GGACUACCGGGGUAUCUAAUCCUGUUUGCUCCCCACGCUUUCGUGCCUCAGCGUCAGUAUCGGACCAGUGAGCCGCCUUCGCCACUGGUGUUCUUGCGAAUAUCUACGAAUUUCACCUCUACACUCGCAGUUCCACUCACCUCUUCCGAACUCAAGAUUCCCAGUAUUAAAGGCAGUUCUGGAGUUGAGCUCCAGGCUUUCACCUCUAACUUAAGAACCCGCCUACGCACCCUUUACGCCCAGUGAUUCCGAGCAACGCUAGCCCCCUUCGUAUUACCGCGGCUGCUGGCAC